AUGGAUGUAGCUCAGUGAUAGAGCACUUGCCUGGCAUGCACAAGGCCCUGGGUUCCAUUCCCAGUAAACAGA
rnacentral:tRNA from 1 species